GCAACCUACCUCAGCAAGUUUAAAGAGCUUAGACAUUGUAUCAAGAGUGGCACAUUGUCGUGAAUAAUCCAGGAAUAUGCCAUCAAACUCGUUGCAUAAACCCCAAAUGAAAAGAAAUCAUCACCCUCUUAGCUCUAAAAGUUAAUAAUCAAUGAAGAAUCACAUAGUUCUUAUCUAUAAAGAACAGAUGGAGUAAUUUACAACUAGAGAUGACAAUUCUUUAAAAUAUUCAAGUAAACUUUUUAAUCUAACAGAUUCCAAAAAGACCCAACAAUCAGAACGUAUGAUCCACAAUCAAUAACAUUAUUCCAAAAUAAUCCCAACAAUCAGAAAGUGCGAUUCCAUUUAAUAGAUUGACAAUCGAUUUUUUCAGAACGAAAACUAAAAGAUGUGAAACUGAGGAGGGAACUAUACCUGUAAACAAGUCAAAUGACUCAUAGGAGGGAACAGUACAUGUAAACCAGUUAAGCAAACAAAAAGUGUGAUGUUAAGCAGUUUAGAAAGGAAGAACGAGAACGAGAAACGAAUUCCACCUUCUAGACGAGAAGCGGACCUACGAACCUGCAGUUGGUUCUUUUCAGCAACAGUAUUUGAUUAAUGGGAAGCUGAUUGGAGUUGGUGUGAUUGAUAUUCUUCUUCCUAAAUGUUAAUCCAGUAAAUAAAUUGGGUGAGAGAGAAACAAGAGCUGCAUGCAGAGUAGAAGUAACAAAUGAUUUUUGAAACAUCGGUGAUUUCGGAAACAAAACACGAGCAAGAGGUCAGAACAUACCUUAUCGAACAGAGAUGCAUAGCGCAACGAGAACUGCAGGCAGAGGUGCUGACCUGUUGCGUCUGGUGCUUUACUUAGUUGUUGACAAUUGCUUUUAAAUGAAGUAUGAACGAGAACGACAGAGAAAUGAUAAUGGAAAAAACAAAC
rnacentral:lncRNA from 1 species